AACGAACGCUGGCGGCGCGUCUUAAGCAUGCAAGUCGAACGGCAAGAGAGGAGCUUGCUUCUCUCCUAGAGUGGCGGACUGGUGAGGAACACGUGGGUAAUCUACCCUUAAGAUGGGGAUAGCUGCUAGAAAUAGCAGGUAAUACCGAAUACACUCGGCAUAUCACAAGAGAUGUUGAGGAAAGGAAGCUACGGCUUCGCUUGGGAUGAGCUUGCGUCCCAUUAGCUAGUUGGUGAGGUAAAGGCCCACCAAGGCGACGAUGGGUAUCCGGCCUGAGAGGGUGAACGGACACAUUGGGACUGAGAUACGGCCCAAACUCCUACGGGAGGCAGCAGCUAAGAAUAUUCCGCAAUGGACGGAAGUCUGACGGAGCGACGCCGCGUGGAUGAAGAAGGCUGAAAAGUUGUAAAAUCCUUUUGUUGAUGAAGAAUAAGGGUGAGAGGGAAUGCUCAUCUGAUGACGGUAAUCGACGAAUAAGCCCCGCUAAUUAC
rnacentral:rRNA from 1 species